AACGAACGCUGGCGGCAGGCCUAACACAUGCAAGUCGAACGUGAAGCCACCUUCGGGUGGUGGAAAGUGGCAGACGGGUGAGUAACGCGUGGGAACGUGCCUUUCGGUUCGGAAUAACCCAGGGAAACUUGGGCUAAUACCGGAUACGCCCUUCGGGGGAAAGAUUCAUCGCCGAGAGAACGGCCCGCGGCGGAUUGGCUAGUUGGGAGGGUAAUGGCCUACCAAGGCGACGAUCCGUAGCUGGUCUGAGAGGCUGACCAGCCACACAGGGACUGAGACACGGCGCAAACUCAAUCGGGAGGCAGCAGUGGGGAAUAUUGGACAAGGGGCGAAAGCCUGAUCCAGCAAUGCCGCGUGGGGGAAGAAGGCCAUAGGGUUGUAAACCCCUUUCAGCGGGGAAGAUAAUGACGGUACCCGCAGAAGAAGCCCCGGCUAACUCCGUGCCAGCCGCAGCGAUAAUAC
rnacentral:rRNA from 1 species